CCUACGGGUGGCAGCAGUGAGGAAUAUUGGUCAAUGGACGAGAGUCUGAACCAGCCAAGUAGCGUGAAGGAUGACUGCCCUAUGGGUUGUAAACUUCUUUUAUAUGGGAAUAAAACGUUCCACGUGUGGGAUUUUGUAUGUACCAUAUGAAUAAGGAUCGGCUAACCCCGUGCCAGCAGCCGCGGUAAUACGGAGGAUCCGAGCGUUAUCCGGAUUUAUUGGGUUUAAAGGGAGCGUAGGUGGAUUGUUAAGUCAGUUGUGAAAGUUUGCGGCUCAACCGUAAAAUUGCAGUUGAAACUGGCAGUCUUGAGUACAGUAGAGGUGGGCGGAAGUCGUGGUGUAGCGGUGAAAUGCUUAGAGAUCACGAAGAACUCCGAUUGCGAAGGCAGUUCACUGGACUGCAACUGACACUGAGGCGCGAAAGUGUGGGUAUCAAACAGGAUUAGAUACCCGAGUAGUC
rnacentral:rRNA from 1 species